rnacentral:rRNA from 1 species
AUUGAACGCUGGCGGCAUGCUUUACACAUGCAAGUCGAACGGUAACAGGCCGCAAGGUGCUGACGAGUGGCGAACGGGUGAGUAAUGCGUCGGAACGUGCCCAGUCGUGGGGGAUAACGCAGCGAAAGCUGCGCUAAUACCGCAUACGAUCUAUGGAUGAAAGCGGGGGACCGGAAGGCCUCGCGCGACUGGAGCGGCCGAUGUCAGAUUAGGUAGUUGGUGGGGGAAAGGCUCACCAAGCCAACGAUCUGUAGCUGGUCUGAGAGGACGACCAGCCACACUGGGACUGAGGCACGGCCCAGACUACUACGGGAGGCAGCAGUGGGGAAUUUUGGACAAUGGGCGCAAGCCUGAUCCAGCAAUGCAGCGUGCAGGAAGAAGGCCUUCGGGUUGUAAACUGCUUUUGUACGGAACGAAACGGCUCUGGUUAAUACCUGGGGCUAAUGACGGUACCGUAAGAAUAAGCACCGGCUAACUACGUGCCAGCCGCCGCCGUAAUAC